GUGCUUGCUUCAGCAGCACAUAUGCUAAGACUGGUAUGAUACAGAGAAGAUUAGCAUGGCCCCUGAAGAAGGAUGACAUGCAAAUUCGUGAAGCGUUUCAUUUUUGU
ensembl:snRNA U6 U6 spliceosomal RNA